AAGUAUAAGUCUAGAAAUGGUAAAAAGACGAAAUUGGAACAAAGUGGUCUACAAAUAUGUAAUAUUUACAUAUAUUGCCACUAGCCAAUCGAAAACCGAAAACCCAGUAGAUGAUCUCAAAGAAUGAAGUUGGGUUUGGGUCCAUUCUCAACAACUACUACUAAUACUGCAUUCUCAUAUUCUUCCCUAAUUUUCAUCCCUCCUAUCUCAAUUCCAUUUUCUCACCCCCAAAUAACUUCUUCAGGAGGGAGAAAAAGCUUUAUUUUUCGUGUGCAAAACAUUGAUCAUAAUAAAAUUGAGUCAAUACCUAGUACUACUUCUUUCAUGGCUUCACAACAGGGAAUUCCACAGGUUAACAGAAAUUUUUACCCACAUAUUGAACCCUAUAGUACUGGUUUUUUGAAUGUUUCAGAUCUUCAUACUAUCUACUGGGAGCAAUCAGGAAAUCCAAGUGGCCAUCCAGUUAUCUUCCUUCACGGAGGUCCUGGAGGGGGAACUUCCCCAAGUAAUAGAAGAUUUUUUGAUCCUGAAUUUUACCGAAUCAUACUUUUUGAUCAGCGAGGUGCGGGGAAAAGCACACCCCAUGCUAACUUAGAGCAUAACACCACAUGGGACCUCAUUGACGAUAUUGAAAAAUUAAGAGAACAUUUGGAGAUUCCAGAAUGGCAGGUAUUUGGUGGGUCAUGGGGAAGCACACUUGCCCUUGCAUACAGCCAAUCUCACCCGGACAAGGUUACUGGCAUGGUCCUCAGGGGAAUCUUCCUUUUAAGGAAGAAAGAAAUAGACUGGUUUUAUGAGGGUGGUGCUUCUGCAAUAUUCCCUGACGCUUGGGAGUCAUUCAGAGAUCUUAUUCCAGAAAAUGAAAGAGGAUGCUUCAUUGAUGCGUAUAAGAAGAGAUUAAACUCUGAUGAUAUUGAAACUCAGUAUGCAGCCGCUAGAGCAUGGACCAAAUGGGAAAUGAUGACUGCUCAUCUUCUUCCAAAUGAAGAUAACAUCAAAAGGGGAGACGAUGAUUACUUUUCACUGGCAUUUGCAAGGAUCGAAAACCACUAUUUUGUUAACAAGGGUUUCUUUCCAUCCGAUUCAUUCUUGCUAGAUGGAGUUGAUAAAAUAAGGCAUAUCAACACCACCAUUGUGCAGGGAAGAUACGAUUGUUGCUGUCCUAUGAUGUCAGCCUGGGAUCUUCAUAGAGCUUGGCCAGAGGCAGACUUUAGGGUGGUUCCAGAUGCAGGACAUUCAGCCAAUGAACCCAGCAUAGCUGCUGAACUUGUGGCUGCAAAUGAGAAAUUAAAAAACAUAAUCAAGAAUAAAGGGGAGUAACGCUGGAGACUAAUCAGAUUCACAAGUGCUGUUCGUAUUGCAGAAGUUGCCUUGAUAUGUGCACCAGAACUUUAAUGCUUGUGAUCGUCGAUUUGUGCUGCUCUUGGGCACAUGGAGACUCUGAAACUUUGGUUCCUUGGGAACAGUUAAAGCUCUUCUUCCUUGUGAACAAGAUGCAUCAUGUUUACGGAGCGUUGCCGUUUCAUUUGGUUUUACAGUCUCUGAAGGCUUUUCAAUAAUGACAUUAAGUUUACAAGCUGUUGCAAGAACUGCUUUAUCUUUCUUCCUGGACAAAACACUGCACGACACACUUUUAUUAUUAAAUAUACAAUUCCAUAGAUUGAGAUUAAGGCUUUAUU